rnacentral:lncRNA from 1 species
GAAGAGAAGGAAGAAAGAGGGUGAGUGAGCAGAGAGAAAAUUCAGUGAGCCACACAUAUUGUAAACACUAUUGUAGCCAUAUUAUUUUAUAUAGUGAAAAGUUACUGCUGCUGCUCUCCGAGGACGUAGGCAUAGCCGAACCUCGUUAAAUACUGUGUCUCAUCUACUUUACGUGCAGCUCAAUAUUCGCACAUAUCCCA